ACGAGUAUGCUGGAACUGGUAUACAGGUGAAUUUUAGGAAUUUAUGAUAUUAAUCGUAAGAGUUCGAAUCUCUUUACUCGUA
rnacentral:tRNA from 1 species